rnacentral:rRNA from 1 species
GACAGAGGGUGCAAACGUUGCUCGGAAUUACUGGGCGUAAAGCGCGUGUAGGCGGACUGGUGUGUCGGAUGUGAAAUCCCCAGGCUCAACCUGGGAACUGCAUUCGAAACUGCCAGCCUUGAGUGGUGGAGAGGGAGGUGGAAUUCCUGGUGUAGAGGUGAAAUUCGUAGAUAUCAGGAGGAACACCAGUGGCGAAGGCGGCUUCCUGGACACCAACUGACGCUGAGACGCGAAAGCGUGGGGAGCAAACAGG